GCAGGAGGGAGCAAAGCAGGUCCAUCUGUUUGGUCCAUCUGCUCGCAUCUGUUGGUUCACGCUGCCAGCUGUGCAGCUAUGAAGACAGUAGACUGUGGGAAGGAGUACAUUGUCUCCCUACUACGUGCACAUACACGAGCAGACACAAGGCGUCCAUAGGUGAAAGGGAAGUUCCCUUCUAGUCCCCUCCUUUUGUGCCUCCCAUCUGUCCUCAUCCUAGACCAGUAGUUUUCAAUCUUGAUUGCAUGUCAGAAUCACUUGCAAAAUUUUGUAAACAUCCAGAUUCCUUUCAGAACUUGGCAGAGAACUCGUGAUUGGUGUGUCUGGUUUAGGCCUGAUGUGCAGUCUUCUCCCCUCCGCUCCCCUCCUCUCUGCUUCCUUUUUUUGGAGACGGCUCACAAUCCUCCUGUCUCAGCCCCUGGAGCACGGAGAUUAUAGGCAUGUACCACCACACCUGGCAGUGUCUUUUCUAAAGGUGGGUCCAACCCUACCCUGGGUGGAAAACCAUGGUCUAUCAAGGGAUCACAAACACGUGUGCAGGGCCCAGGAAUGUAACAAAAGACUGGGAGCGCAGACAGUGGUAACCUUAAGAGUAUCUGUACCACCUGAUGGCAGUCAGGUUCAAUAAAGGACGGUGCCAGGGAAACCUAGAUAGUUGAUUAAUGGCCCCGGCAACUUCAGUUUUGCUCCUGUGCCCUAGAAGGCAGCCCCUGCCCCAUCCCGAGGCACCUUCAUGUAGGCCGUGCGGGAGCAGCUGCUGCAGUCCUUCCUAGCUCGUUCACCACCACGAAGUACUGGCCACUGUCCUUUGGUGCGCAGGUGGGGGUGACGAUGCUGCACAUGCCGCUGGUGGAGUUGUAGCAGAGCUUGGAGUUGGCCGUGAUGCUGACCUCGCCCUUCUGCAGGGUCACCGUGGGCCUCCAGUUCCCAAGGAAGGCGCAGGUCAUGGUGCAGUCCUGGCUGAGGAGCAGCGUGUGUGGCUUGAGCGGGGUGAGGAAGCGAGGUGUGUGGCGCCAGUCCUCUUGCUGGUAGGGCUUCACCUUCAUGCUCAGGUCCUCCACUGUGGGGGUGGGGGGGCACAGGGCAGGUGGUGGUGAGUGAUCCCCAGGACCCACCUGCCACCCUGGUUUUUGAGCUAGGAAGGUGCCCUGGAGACCCAGCUUUGUGGAACCACAGAGAUCUGGGCCAGAUUCUCAGAUGCCAGCAACUGUGGGACCCCCCGUUGUACUGAUUCCUAAGGGCUCCUCCCCUAGGGUCCCCCACCCCACCGCCUACCCCCAUCCACUCCAGGAUUCCUCAGCUCAAACGGAGGUUUGCAUGUUUUUACAUCUUCCCAGGUUAGAGGGGCCUUUCUAGCCCCAGCUUGUCAGACCAAGGUACUGGGUAUUCGAAACUGUUACCCAGACCCCGUGUAAUUUUAACUUGUGCCUUCUCUCUGUCAUUCGGCCCCACAUUUCCUGUGUUUACUGAUGCUUCUCCACUUAUAAUCCCUUCCCUCCCUGCUUCCCAGGUUUCUUUGUUUUUUUUUGAGACAGGGUCUCAUUAUGUACCCGAGGCUGGCGAGGCUGGCCUUGAACUUGUGGCAAUCCUCCUGCCUCAGCCUCCUGAAUGCUAGGAUUACAGGUGUGUGCCACCAUGCCCAGCAGGUUUCCCACAUUUUAUCCUGAGCUCCCCAGAGUCCCUUCCCAGUCCUCAGCCCAAUCACCCCUCCCUUCAGAGCAGACCAGGAGGUCCCCCCACCCCUGCCACUCUCUGUCCCUCUACUGUCACCUCCAUCCCCAGGGACACCUCCCCACCUCCAUGGCAGGCUCACCGUGCAGAGUCUCCCUAAGAUACUUCUCUCCUAAGCUUCCUCAACAUCUAUACCCCACCCCCUUCCAUCUCUGCAGCUGUCUGAUUUCAUCUUAAUCCCUGGUACCCUUUUCUGACCCUUAUGUCAUCUCUGCAUCAGGGGUCCCAAAUCUCAAAUCCCCUACUCACUCUGAUCUUUUUUUUUUUGGUACCGGGGAUUGAACUCGGG
ensembl:lncRNA